rnacentral:rRNA from 1 species
GAUGAACGCUGGCGGCGUGCUUAACACAUGCAAGUCGAACGGUGAAGGCGGAGCUUGCUCUGCUGGAUCAGUGGCGAACGGGUGAGUAACGCGUGAGCAAUCUGCCCCUGACCCUGGGAUAAGCGCUGGAAACGGCGUCUAAUACUGGAUACGAGCUGCGACGGCAUCUUCAGCAGCUGGAAAGAACUUCGGUCAGGGAUGAGCUCGCGGCCUAUCAGCUUGUUGGUGAGGUAACGGCUCACCAAGGCGUCGACGGGUAGCCGGCCUGCGAGGGUGACCGGCCACACUGGGACUGAGACACGGCCCAGACUCCUACGGGAGGCAGCAGUGGGGUAUAUUGCACAAGGGGCGGAAGCCUGAUGCAGCAACGCCGCGUGGGGGACGACGGCCUUCGGUUUGGAAACCUCUUUUAGCAGGGAAGAAGCGAAAGUGACGGUACCUGCAGAAAAAGCGCCGGCUAACUACGUG